UACGUAGGGUGCAAGCGUUAAUCGGAAUUACUGGGCGUAAAGCGUGCGCAGGCGGUUGUGCAAGACAGAUGUGAAAUCCCCGGGCUUAACCUGGGAAUUGCAUUUGUGACUGCACGGCUAGAGUGUGUCAGAGGGGGGUAGAAUUCCACGUGUAGCAGUGAAAUGCGUAGAUAUGUGGAGGAAUACCGAUGGCGAAGGCAGCCCCCUGGGAUAACACUGACGCUCAUGCACGAAAGCGCGGGGAGCAAACAGG
rnacentral:rRNA from 1 species